rnacentral:rRNA from 1 species
UAGGGAAUCUUCGGCAAUGGGGGGAACCCUGACCGAGCAACGCCGCGUGAGUGAAGAAGGUUUUCGGAUCGUAAAGCUCUGUUGUUAAGGAAGAACGAGUGUGAGAAUGGAAAGUUCAUGCUGUGACGGUACUUAACCAGAAAGGGACGGCUAACUACGUGCCAGCAGCCGCGGUAAUACGUAGGUCCCGAGCGUUGUCCGGAUUUAUUGGGCGUAAAGCGAGCGCAGGCGGUUAGAAAAGUCUGAAGUGAAAGGCAGUGGCUCAACCAUUGUAGGCUUUGGAAACUGGUUAACUUGAGUGCAGAAGGGGAGAGUGGAAGUCCAUGUGGAGCGGUGAAAUGCGUAGAUAUAUGGAGGAACACCGGUGGCGAAAGCGGCUCGCUGGUCUGUAACUGACGCUGAGGCUCGAAAGCGUGGGGAGCGAACAGG